rnacentral:rRNA from 1 species
CCUACGGGAGGCAGCAGUGAGGAAUAUUGGUCAAUGGCCGGAAGGCUGAACCAGCCAUGCCGCGUGAAGGUCAGUGCCCUAUGGGCGUUAAACUUCUUUUGUGCGGGAGCAAUAAUGGUCACGUGUGGCCAGACGAGAGUACCGUACGAAUAAGCAUCGGCUAACUCCGUGCCAGCAGCCGCGGUAAUACGGGGGCUGCAAGCGUUAUCCUGAUUUUUUGGUUUUAAAGGGUGCGUAGGGUGUGAGGUAAGUCAGCGGGGAAAUGCCCCGGCGCAACGGGGUGAAGUGCCAUUGAUACUGCCUGGCUGGAAUGCGGAUGCGGUAGGAGGAAUGUGUGGUGUAGCGGUGAAAUGCAUAGAUAUCACACAGAACACCGAUUGCGAAGGCAUCUCACGAAGCCGCGAUUGACGCUGAUGCACGAAAGCGUGGGUAGCAAACAGGAUUAGAUACCCCUGUAGUC